GAUUAUGGCUCAGAUUGAACGCUGGCGGUGUGCUUAACACAUGCAAGUCGCGCGUGAAAGGACUUCGGUCCGAGUAAAGCGGCGCACGGGUGAGUAACGCGUGGAUGAUCUACCCAUGAGUUAGGAAUAACGGCUGGAAACGGUCGCUAAUACCAAAUACGCUCCGAUUUCAACUUCGGGGGAAAGGUGGCCUCUGCUUGCAAGCUACUGCUCAUGGAUGAGUCCGCGUCCCAUUAGCUAGUUGGUGGGGUAACGGCCCACCAAGGCGACGAUGGGUAGCCGGUCUGAGAGGAUGACCGGCCACACUGGGACUGGAACACGGCCCAGACUCCUACGGGAGGCAGCAGUGGGGAAUAUUGCGCAAUGGGCGAAAGCCUGACGCAGCGACGCCGCGUGAGGGAUGAAGGUCCUCGGAUCGUAAACCUCUGUCAGGAGGGAAGAACCGCCACGGUGCUAAUCAGCCGUGGUCUGACGGUACCUCCAAAGGAAGCACCGGCCAACUCCGUGCCAGCCGCAGC
rnacentral:rRNA from 1 species